GAUGAACGCUGGCGGCGUGCCUAAUACAUGCAAGUCGAACGCGAGCAGCAAUGCUCGAGUGGCGAACGGGUGAGUAAUACAUAAGUAACCUGCCCUAGACAGGGGGAUAACUGCUGGAAACGGCAGCUAAGACCGCAUAGGUAUGGACACUGCAUGGUGACCAUAUUAAAGGGGCUGCGGCCCUGAACAUGGAUGGACCUGCGGUGCAUUAGCUAGUUGGUGGGAUAACGGCCUACCAAGGCGACGAUGCAUAGCCGACCUGAGAGGGCGAACGGCCACAUUGGGACUGAGACACGGCCCAA
rnacentral:rRNA from 1 species